UACGUAGGUGGCAAGCGUUGUCCGGAAUUAUUGGGCGUAAAGGGCUCGUAGGCGGUCCAUCGCGUCGGGAGUGAAAAGCUGGGGCUUAACCCCAGUCCUGCUUCCGAUACGGGUGGACUAGAGGUAGGUAGGGGAGAUCGGAAUUCCUGGUGUAGCGGUGAAAUGCGCAGAUAUCAGGAGGAACACCGGUGGCGAAGGCGGAUCUCUGGGCCUUACCUGGCGCUGAGGAGCGAAAGCAUGGGGAGCAAACAGG
rnacentral:rRNA from 1 species